rnacentral:lncRNA from 1 species
UUAACAAAACCAGCAGUAAGACAGACAAGUUUCUAUUUCCUUCCAGUGGCAUGCAACAAAGUAAGAAAAUAUGACCCAAAUUACUUUUUUUUCAGUCAUGACAAUUUGUCAAAAUGCUUAUUGGAAAAUUGCUGUGUGGUGUAGAAGGGGGCAUCUGGAGGCGACUGUUAGGUUACAUUUCUGUUCAAUGCCAAAUAGCUUGAUUAAGAAUCAUAAAACCCCAGCCUGUGCCCAAUGAUCCAGGUAUUUGGGCUGUGCAGACAUGGGAAAAGUCAAAUGUGUUAUGUUCAAUAGCUGAUGAACAGGAACUAACAACAGCAAAUUUCAUUAUCUUUGAGAUAAAGGGCUAUGUGAGGUAAUUAUUGUUAAAGUAAAAAAGCAAAAAAAUGACUUCCAGUUAUUGAAUUAAGGUGGGGAUUGAUUUAACAUUCACGCACGAACUCAGAUUUGAAUUUAAAAGGUUUGCAAUAAAACUCCUGUUUGGAAAUUGAAUACAUUGUAGUUUUAUUACUACAGUGGAUAUCCCUGUGUCCUAACCUUCUCCCUUGGAGUUAUCUUAGUUCAAUAAAUAAAACCUCAUUAGACUAUUCCCAUUUCAACGAGUUUAUUAAAUUUUGCAGGAGUAAUUAGCAUAAGCUGUGCUAAUUUUUCUGGAAGACUAAUGAGGGAGGUUCUUAAUUAGGUUUACUUUGUAGGAAUCAGAAGAGAGGAUAAAAGAGGACAAAAGUCACAUAGGGUCCUCUGAAUUGGGAACCCACUUUCUCAGAAUCCACACAACAACUUCUGUUUAUCUAUGGAAGCUUCAUUAUGUGCCCUUUAACUGUACAGAUUGAAAGUAAAGACUUUUAUUCUGUAUUUAGUUUGAAUUAGAACCCUUCCUUAGCUAAGAGAAAAAUUAUUUUCCUAGACUGUCUUGGAGUGGUGAGAUGGAUGAAUACAGAUGGCCUUACAAAAACAUCUCUUUCUUCAAAUUUUACCAUAGAGUUCCUUUCACAUGGAGUGCUGAUGCUUCUGGCUAGACUACCUAGGGACAGUGUGUCAGUUAAAAUCCAGUCCUUUCGGGAAUAUGGAUAAUAUGGUUUAAAUAACCUGCAAAUCUUGAGUCCCCCAGAGCUAGUAUUUAAAACUGAGACUUUUUUUUUAAAGGCCCAUCAGCACACAUACUAUUCUAAAUGACUUGCGUUUACUGGUUGCCACAGUCUUACCUUGUCUGUCUUUCCCACUUGGAAGAAUCUUGGCUUCCAUGCUUAGAGCUAAGAGAGACAGACCACAGCGACAUGAAGAGGAUAUAUGACUUUUGGGAUACAAAAUCCCAGCCUGUUUGGAAUUGUUCGUGCCACACUUAUCCAAAGCUCUCCUAAAAAGAAGAAAAAUGUAGUAUUCUUCUACAUCUAGGUCAUUUAGGUAAUAUCAACUGGCUUCGCAAUGAUUAUAAUGUAAAAUGGAAUAGUCAGCCAGGAAAUAGGUAGAAUGUUCAUUUUAUCUGCCAUAGGUCACUCAAAUAGAAGAUCUUGGCCAUGUUCAGAUAGAAAUUUUUAUUGAAGGUCUAUGUUUUAAUCUGAGAGGUCAGGGUGCUGAGGUCAGACUUGUAGGAGAGCAUUGUUAGGUCACCAUCAAGUUAGCUUCUUGAAUAAGUUGUGAACAUCAGCCUGACUGGGAAAGGACAGUGACAUGUAGACUCAGGUCACUUGUAGGCAGUGUUUACCAUUGGACAUGUGUGAGAGAAUUUAUUCCCUUGAAUUUCUGAAGUCAUAUGGGAUCUUCUAGCAAAUACCCCCGAUCUGUCUUAUCAUUUAUGGUAAAUCCUCAAAUCCAUGCAAAAUGCUGUCUGUCUCUGUCUAAUAACAAUGAAGUCCUUCACUUAGAUCAUUUCUCAACCCGCGGGUCUCGAUUCCAUUGGUGGGGAGUCUGGUGCCCCUUUCACAAGGGUUGCGUAAGACCAUCAGAAAACACAGAUAUUUACAUUAUGCUUCACAACAAUAGCCAAAUUACAGUAGUAAUUUUAUUGAAGUAGCAAUGACGUAAUUUUAUGGUUGGGGGUCACCACAACACAAGGAACUAAAGGGUUGCAGCAUUAGGAAGGUUGAGAACCAAUGCCUUGGGUGAACAUGAAGAUAUGCUCCCAAAUGAGACGCUUAGCCAGGUUCAUGGCUUCAGUUUACUGCUCUUUCAAGCCGUAUCUUCCUCUUCAUUCUGUCAUUUGGAAGGGCCAACGAGUGAGCAGAGAAUUUCAGCACAGCAUGCAAGCUGCUGCGUAGGUCACCAAGAACCAGAGGUGCAAAUGCAUUUCUCGGAGUUCUGAGAAACCUUCCAUGCCACUCAAUUCCGUAACUCUUGACUGUUCAGUUAAAACUGAAGGAAGAGGACUUCAUUCUCCAAAGCUGCCCUAGGCAGGAUAAUUGCUGUCCUUCUGGCUGCUCUGAGAGGCUUAGACCUUUUCACAGUGGAGAGUCAGCAUGGGUACGGAGCAUGAAUUUACAGUUGUUCUCUAGCCCUAGUGCAUUUAAAGAUUUGUUUUCUCAGUGGGAAUUCACAUGUGAUUAUUAGCAGUGAGACUUAUGUGAGCAAAUAUCAUUCUCAAUUUUACAUUUGUCAGAUGGUAGCAUUCUGAGGAUGAGCUGAGCCCUGAACACUUGGGCAUGGUUUGCUACUGUGAUAAAAAAAAAAUCACUAAUACAAUAAGCUAAUAGCAGUCUAGAUUCCAUUUACUACCAGCUAUUCUCAAAUACACAACCAGGAUACAUUAAAAUGCAUCUCAAAUAUGCUGACAGUAGAUCAUAAUGCAAAGUACUUUUACAGGUGUUACGCUAUAGUAGACACUGUCUAAUAAGCAACAGUGGUUUUCCUGUAAAGGAAACCAUGGCACAACUUCCAAGAAAUGUGUUCAGCAGAGCUUCAGGGCAUCGACAAGUGUGUGUGUGUGUGUGUGUGUGUGUGUGUGUACGCGCGCAACACACUUUUAUCUUUGCAUUUCAUGUCAUCAUUAAGUUUGUUUCUGUAACCGUUUGGGACAAUGCAGGAAAGCUCUGCAGUCUCAUGUGGUCUCAUGUAGUGUUGUAGCAGUUACUGGGCAAUGAUAGUUCAUGAGUAUAAUAAACAUGUUCUUACUUUCCAAUAGGUUGCUUUGAGUUGAAAACAAGCAAAGCAAAGCCCCUGUAAGGAUGGCUUCAUGGGUAGAAAUUCUCAUUCCAUGCUACUACCAGCACGUGGCUAAACUCUCUAAUUAAAAAAAAAAAUCUGGCCAGAUAUAAAUACCCCACCCCACCCCCC